rnacentral:rRNA from 1 species
AUUGAACGCUGGCGGCAGGCCUAACACAUGCAAGUCGAGCGAGCGGCGGACGGGUGAGUAAUGUCUGGGAAACUGCCUGAUGGAGGGGGAUAACUACUGGAAACGGUAGCUAAUACCGCAUACCAUCGGAUGUGCCCAGAUGGGAUUAGCUAGUGGGUGGGGUAAAGGCUGACCUAGGCGACGAUCCCUAGCUGGUCUGCGAGGAGGACCAGCCACACUGGAACUGAGACACGGCCCAGACUCCUACGGGAGGCAGCAGUGGGGAAUAUUGCGCAAUGGGCGCAAGCCUGAUGCAGCCAUGCCGCGUGUAUGAAGAAGGCCUUCGGGUUGUAAAGUACUUUCAGCGGGGAGGCGUUACCCACAUAAGAAGCACCGGCUAACUCCGUGCCAGCAGCCGCGGUAAUAC